CGAUGAUGAAAGCGCAGAAUUGAAAGAAACGCCCCAAGUCGAGAUUAGUUUGUUUGACAAGGGGCAAGGCUGAGCCAAUAGCGAGGAGGCCGACUGGAAAUUGAUAGAUUAGUGAAAGGCUUUUUAAUACAGUUUGUUAUUAUAGUUCUUCGGGCGAUUGCUCGUUCAAUUAGGAACGAUUGUCCCAACUUUGCAAAAUAUUUGCACUCAGGACUAAUAACAUGUUUUGACCCGGAGUUCUGCCCAAAGGUCAUGGCGUACUUCUUGCCAUUCUUAGUCUUUUGUGACAUCAUAACAUUUGGUGUGGCGUCUUUAAUGAUCACAUAAAAAAGACAGUUUAUUUUCUGUGAUACAUAGGGCUUUUUUUCUUCUUUUUUUUUUCAAUUGCAAAUUGAAAUCAAUAGUAAUGAUUAAAUGCACCCGACAGAGAUGUAGUUCAGUGGUGUGGAAAUGUAUCGAUUGCUUCAAAUUGACCGGUUUCAACAUCGCGUUGCCUACACGCGGCCUCCGCGAAUAGGAUAUAUCAAGGGCCACGGACACAAUGACAGCUGAAGUCUUUAGGUUCUCACCAAGACUGCACAAUUAAGGACAUCAUGUUGGGUGAAUUAAUAAAUAGAGUUGGAAUGUUGACGUUUGUUGAAGAAGCCAUCCACACUAUUAUAAAUUUCUGUGAUGAUAGAACAAAUGUUUAAUAGUAGUCUUUUUAACAAUUAAACUUAAAUAUUAAACACAUUUGUAUUUUGAACGUCACAGUGUUCAUG